rnacentral:rRNA from 1 species
UACAGAGGUCUCAAGCGUUGUUCGGAUUCAUUGGGCGUAAAGGGCGCGUAGGCGGUGUCGCAAGUCCGUGGUGAAAUCUCUAGGCUCAACUUAGAGACUGCCGCGGAAACUGCGGUGCUUGAGUGUGGGAGAGGUGAGUGGAAUUCCCGGUGUAGCGGUGAAAUUCGUAGAUAUUCGCAAGAACACCAGUGGCGAAGGCGGCUCACUGGCCCGUAACUGACGCUGAGGCACGAAAGCGUGGGGAGCAAACAGG